CGCACCUUGCGCUCCUUGGUAUUCCGAGGAGCAUGCCUGUUUGAGUGUCAUGAAAUUCUCAACCUUACAGUCCUUUAUGGGGACUUGUUAGGAUUGGACUUGGAGGCUUUUGUCGGUUGUUAUUAACUGGCUCCUCUUAAAUGCAUUAGCUUGGAUUGUUAUAGAUCAGCUGUUGGUGUGAUAAUGUCUACACCGCAACUGUGAAGUGUGCGCCAGCUUCUAAUCAUCAUCAUCUUAGGAUGAUAAAUAUGAACUCUCUGACCUCAAAUCAGGUAGGACUACCCGCUGAACUUAA
rnacentral:misc_RNA from 1 species